CUUCUGGUAUUCACUUUGCUUUCCCAUAGGGCUGGGGGUCAAAACCAGGCGGAAGCGCAAGCCUCGAAAGCAGGUCCCGUCACUUCCCUGCAUGCAUAGCUAUCCCCCAUCCCCACCCUUCCUAAGGUGAGGCAUUGCAGAGGAGGAAGGAGGGGGCUGGUUCUCGGGUACGCGUUGCUGAAAUCUCAUGGGAACCACUCAGAGGAAGUGAUGUGAAAAGAACGGACGAGUUUCCCACGCUCUAAACUCAGGAGCGGCAAUGUCCUUAUUCUUUGCUGUGACGCUGGCUCUCAGAGUGACUAACGUAAACGAACAUCUGCUCGUCUCCCGUUCCCUAUGCACAGCUCACGGCAUCGUCCUGUGUCACGGGAGAAAGAAGCGUGGGACAGCCACGCCCGAGGAGUGUAAGGACAUUCCCCGAGAGCCGCUUAUGCUCAGGAGAAUUAUGCAGUGACAUUUCUGUGCGUUAUUUCAUUUCUUAAAUGUCAUUAUUCUUUAAAAAAUUAAUGCAAGUUCAUGGGGGAAAAAAAAUCACACAGGACAAAAGAUACACAAUGGAAUGUCACCCUGUCUGUCACUGCCCUAUCUUUUCCCCAGAGGACCGUUGCUACUUUUUCAUCUGCCCUCCGCCGGUGGUCCAGGACAUCCACGUGUUUGUCCAGACUAGUGAGGAGUACACGUGUGUGCAUUUCCGUACUUUAUUUUAAACCUAAAAAGUAGCAAACCACAUAGACUCUUCUGAACCUCAUUCUUUUCACUUAAUAUUAUCUUGGACACUGCUUCGCGUUCACCCACAGAUCCACCUCGUUGUGUUGGAUGCUCAUGUCAUCCUCAUGAGUUUUGUUAAUGUCGAUAUAGAAGAACUAGACCUCGGGCUGUCUGGGGGCCGCUGAAGCAGCCUGUGGGUUCUCCAGAUGGUGCUUGAUAUGAAGUCAGCAGGGGCGGCUGUUGGACAGAAGGUGGCAGGAAGGGGGCCAGGGACAAAGUGGAAGCCAUGAGGAUAAAGCGAAAACACCUCUAUUCUUGAGCAUUCAGGGGCGUGCCGGAUAAGCUGGAGCCCUUGACCGUGGAGCUGAACUCACACCUGGCCAGGAGGCAGGGGCCCUGCCAGGGAAGACGCAUUAGGGGCCGCACACCUGGCUGCAGUGACGCCCACACGUUAGCGAGCGGCAUGCAUGUGAGAUGCAAACGUACCUGCCGUCAUCCACCUUCUAACUCAGGAAGCGCCGCGCCUCCGCCACGCUCGGCCGCACCUUUCUCCUGGCGAGCC